rnacentral:rRNA from 1 species
AUGGGUCUGCGGCGGAUUAGGUAGUUGGUGGGGUAACGGCCCACCAAGCCUAAGAUCCGUACGGGCUGUGGGAGCAGGAGCCCGGAGAUGGACCCUGAGACAAGGGUCCAGGCCCUACGGGGCGCAGCAGGCGCGAAACCUCCGCAAUGCGGGAAACCGCGACGGGGUUAGCCGGAGUGCCCGUGCAUUGCACGGGCUGUCGGGGUGCCUAAACAGCACCCCAUAGCAAGGGCCGGGCAAGGCCGGUGGCAGCCGCCGCGGUAAGACCGGCGGCCCGAGUGGCGGCCACUCUUAUUGGGCCUAAAGCGUCCGUAGCCGGCCCAGUAAGUCCCCCGGGAAAUCUGGUCGCUUAACGAUCAGACUUCCGGGGGAUACUGCUGGGCUAGGGACCGGGAGAGGCCGAGGGUAUUCCCGGGGUAGGGGUGAAAUCCUGUAAUCCCGGGAGGACCACCUGUGGCGAAGGCGCUCGGCUGGAACGGGUCCGACGGUGAGGGACGAAGGCCUGGGGAGCGAACCGGAUUAGAUACCCGGGUAGUCCAGGCUGUAAACGAUGCGGGCUAGGUGUCACCGGAGCUACGAGCUCCGGUGGUGCCGGAGGGAAGCCGUUAAGCCCGCCGCCUGGGAAGUACGGCCGCAAGGCUGAAACUUAAAGGAAUUGACGG